rnacentral:rRNA from 1 species
UUAANACAUGCAANUCGAACGAUGAACCCNGUUUCGGUGGUGGAUUAGUGGCGAACGGUGAGUAANANGUGGGCAAUUUGCCCUUCAUUUUGGACAAGCCCUGGAAACGGGUUUAAUACCGGAUAACAUUUUNUCCCGCAUGGGANGGGGUUGAAAGNUCCGGCGGUGAAGGAUGAGCCCGCGGCCUAUNAGCUUGUUGGUGGGGUAAUGGCCUACCCAAGGGAGACGGGUAGCCGGCCUGAGAGGGCGACCGGCCACACUGGGAAUGAGANACGGCCCAGAAUCCUACGGGAGGCAGCAGUGGGGAAUAUUGCACAAUGGGCGAAAGCCUGAUGCAGCGANGCCGCGUGAGGGAUGACGGCCUUNGGGUUGUAAACCUUUUUNAGCAGGGAAGAAGCGAAAGUGACGGUACCUGCAGAAGAAGCGCCGGCUAAAUAAGUGCCAGCAGCCGCGGUAAUAAGUAGGGCGCAAGCGUUGUCCGGAAUUAUUGGGCGUAAAGAGCUUGUAGGCGGCUUGUCANGUNGGAUGUGAAAGCCCGGGGNUUAACCCCGGGUUUGCAUUUGAUACGGGCUAGNUAGAGUGUGGUAGGGGAGAUNGGAAUUCCUGGUGUAGCGGUGAAAUGCGCAGAUAUCAGGAGGAACACCGGUGGCGAAGGCGGAUCUCUGGGCCAUUACUGACGCUGAGGAGCGAAAGCGUGGGGAGCGAACAGGAUUAGAUACCCUGGUAGUCCACGCCGUAAACGUUGGGAACUAGGUGUUGGCGACAUUCCACGUCGUCGGUGCCGCAGCUAACGCAUUAAGUUCCCCGNCUGGGGAGUACGGCCGCAAGGCUAANACUCAAAGGAAUUGACGGGGGCCCGNACAAGCAGCGGANCAUGUGGCUUAAUUCGACGCANCGCGAAGAACCUUACCAAGGCUUGACAUAUACCGGAAAGCAUCAGAGAUGGUGCCCCCCUUGUGGUCGNUAUACANGUGGUGCAUGNCUGUCGUCACCUCGUGUCGUGAGAUGUUGGGUUAAGUCCCGCAACGAGCGCNACCCUUGNUCUGUGUUGNCANCAUGCCCUUCGGGGNUGAUGGGGACUCACAGGANACUGNCCGGGGUCAACUCCGGANGAAGGUGGGUGACGAAGUCAAGGUCAUCAUGNCCCCUUAUGUCUUGGUGCUGCACACGUGC